rnacentral:misc_RNA from 1 species
CAAAUAAAUAAAUAAAACCUUUCUAUGAUUCAUGAAUGUUGCAUGACAAUACUUCAAAGCACUACUACAAAAUAAAAAUUUUAGAAGAGUUCACAAAACUCACUCAGAAAGUUAGACAAAAUUUUGUACAAGUAAUAGAAAUUGAAGAAGUUUCUCUAUAAUAAAUUCCUUUUUAUUUAACCAAAACAUAUAGGGAAAAUUGGAGAAGACAAAUACACAAGACAAUGAUGGUUCUUGGCAUAAAACGGCAUGAAAGGACAAUUUCUAGGAAUGCCAUGGCUUGUGAACAUGAGAAAAUGAGAGAGAUGCAUAUGCUAGGUAUUUAUAGCUGUAUUUUUCACACCAUUCUUUAAGAUGCAGGUCGGGCAGGGGUACUGAGUCGAGCAAUGGUUACAAUGACAGUAUUUAUUGGUCCUAAUGAGCAUUCAUAAGCGUUUGUUGCUGAAAGUCAGGGUGGGAAUAUUUCUUUUAGGAAGAUAACAUGGAAUAUGGAUGCAAUGUGAAACCACCUCUCCAAUUCACCACUCAUAAAUUUAAAAGAAGAAGAAGAAGAAGAAG